GGAUGUGAGGGCGAUCUGGCUGCAACAUCUGUCACCCCAUUGAUCGCCAGGGUUGAUUCGGCUGAUCUGGCUGGCUAGGCAGUUGUCCCCCUCCUCCCUCACCGAUCCAUGUGCAUCCCUCCCUAAGCUGUGCGCUUGGUCGAAGAGGACGACCUUCCCCCCGAGGAGAGGACCGGUCUUCGGUCAAGGGUAUACGAGUAGCUGCGCUCCCCUGCUAGAACCUCCAAACAAGCUCUCAAAACUAUUCAGUUGGAGCAUAUGUCAUAUGUCCAAUCACAGCCUUCACAUAGGUGGGUAUGUGUGCAUGGUU
rnacentral:snRNA from 1 species